rnacentral:rRNA from 1 species
GACGAACGCUGGCGGCGUGCUUAACACAUGCAAGUCGAGCGGUAAGGCCCUUUCGGGGUACGACGAGCGGCGAACGGGUAGGAGUAACACGUGGGUGGACCUCGCCCUCCAGCUCUGGGAGUAAGCCUGGGAAACCGGGGUCUAAUACUGGAUAUGACUCCAUGACGCAUGUUGGUGGGGUGGAAAGCCUUGUGCGGCUGAGGAUGGGCCCGCGGCCUAUCAGCUUGUUGGUGGGGUGAGGCCUACCAAGGCGACGACGGGUAGCCGGCCUGAGAGGGCGACCGGCCACACUGGGACU